rnacentral:lncRNA from 1 species
CCUCAGCCCAAACCUGCAGCUGCUCCUGGAUUUGGGUUUUGGACACCAGCACGAGUUUGUUAUUUUCUUGAAGUGUAAGACAGAGCACAGGUAUGACUCAAUUGGAUUCUCCUCCAGCCUCGGUGUAGUGCUGGGUGCACGGGCAGGGGGGACAGGAUCUGUCCCUGCUGCCUCAGGAGGCAGGUGAGGGCUCCCAGCCCAAGCUCGGUGAGCUGGGAGCACAUGGAGACUCCUCAGUGUCACCCUUCCUGAGCCUGCCCACACUCACUCCGGGUGAACCAGACGUUUCCUUUCCCCUCUGCAUGGUGACAGCCUGAUGGUGCCACAGCAGAGGGUUAAAGCAGAGUCACCCACGCCCCAGUGAGAUUCUCCCCCCUGCCAUCAGCUGUGACACAGCCCCAACAAUGCCCAGGGAACGGCCCAAACCAAGGGCCAGCCUCUCUGCAGAGCUGGGAAGAGCCAAAAAGACACAGGCAGCCCUGAGGUGGGUGUAGGACAGCCUGAUGUGGGCUCCUCACAACCCCUUUUCCAACGGCCACCAGCAGCAGCCGGUGCUCCCCCCUAAAUGAGGCUGAGAGGUUUCUUCAGGUAAGAGAACAGCUGUCAGAGGGCCCUGCUGUCCUUUCUCUGCCUCCCACCCCAACACUGGACCCAGGGCAUGAAGAAAGGGCCAGUCCCUGCUUUCCUGCCCCUACACCACCAUCUACUCGGGUCCAGCUGCAGCCCUGAUGGCCAAGAGCAGAUCCUACUCUUCCUCACAGGAGAAAUGGUGCAGGUGUACAGAGCUGGACCACAAAGUUUCUUUCAUCCCUCUCCUUCCCCCCACAGGGCACAGCAAAACAGCCCCAGCAUCAGCUGCUGUCAGGCCAAACCCAGACCAGUCCCACCAGUUCCAUAACUUACAAGGAAACAGAGAAGCUACAGAGAGCUGCAAGUCCUGGAGUAUUUACACCGAGGAGGGCAGGAACAGGAGACAAAGCAACACGUGACCAGAGGUAUUUACAGCACGGACACACAAAGCCCCCUCACCUCACAAGAACAGCAGCAGCGACAGCAGGUCAAGCCCUUGGUGCUCCAAGGCUGACAGAGAAUCUGGGCUAUUUACAGUAUCUCACAUAUUAACAGCUUUACAAAGGUGUCCAGGAAGUUUCAUCUCAUGUAUAAAAAANNNNNNNNNNNNNNNNNNNNNNNNNNNNNNNNNNNNNNNNNNNNNNNNNNNNNNNNNNNAAAAAAAAGCC